ensembl:lncRNA
UUUUGAGGCAGUGUGAAGGCAAGCGUUUGGUCUGUACACAGUGCUCUGCUGCAGUGCCUCGAGCAGGUGGUUGAGGCAGAGCGCUUCUGGGGCAGGGGCACUUCCCUGGGGCUGAGCACAGCCGUGUUGCUCGGCUCUACUGCAAACCAGGGGUGCAGUUUGAAUGAAGCCCUCCUCCUCCUUAUGCUUCAUUCCCCUUCUGCACUGAGUGACAGGGAAAUACGCAGGCACUGCGAUCACACGGAUCAAGAGAGAGACUUGGAUAGACUCUCACAGCCUUUUUCCUUAAAAAAAUAUUCCUCUCUGCAAGAUCUUCAGUCCUUUGGGUAUGCAUUUUAGAAGCAGGGGCUAGUACAUAAAUCUCUCUCUGCUUCCUUAAAGAUGUCAUCUUUCACCCACAACAAAUGCUAUUGUGGGGAAGAAAACAGAAAAUAGUUGGCCAUUCUUCUGAAAUGAAAGCAGCAAUCUUCAAAGCUGAAAACAAUUGCUUCAGGGGAACUCAAUAACUGCUUGGACCAUGUGAAAACAGGCAGUUUGUAUCAAGAUCAGCAACUGUGUUAUCAGGCUGGAGCUACUGGUGGAGAUGUUUGCAUCUAACCCCAAGCAGCGGCUGGAAUGGUGCUUCACCAGGGCGUGGGUGGUCUGUGUUUGGUGACAGAGAAGAUAGCGUGAAUCCUGCUUUCAUAACCAGGGAGAAAAUAACAGGCUAUUUUGAGCACUAGCUUUCAUUUGAUGGAGCAAGUCGUAGUUUUUACUCAGCAUGGAUGAGCCUGACUAGAAAGCACAAGGCAGCCAAAAGUGACUUGUGCUGUCCCCAGUCUCCUACAGCAGCUUCAUCUAGAUGUUAAACGAGAGGAGGAGGAAGCAGAGGUGGCAGGUUUUGCCCUGAAUGACUUGCCAGCUGAGAAUACUUGGAAUAAAAAGGCAACUCCUACCUGAAAAGAGCUGCUUUAAGGAGCAUCCACCCUGGGUUUUGCACCUUUGUAGCCUCUACCUCCCAAAAUCCCCACCCAAGGCCAGAGUUGGGGAAUAUUCUGGCAGCAUUAUUGAGCUGAGGAUUUCAGUAUGCUUCUCAGGGCUGCUUAACAACAAGAAGAUACAAACAGAAAAUAUGACACUAUUUUUGACUUCAAUGGAUGGACAGCUGUGUUAGAUAAGGAAGAAAAGGCAGGUGUUGGUUUCCCAUCGGUACCUGUGUCUGCACCAUGUCCAAGUCUCAAGUGACACAUCCUCAGCGCAGCUUCUGUGCCUCCUGCCCUGCGUGGCUGCGGCUGGGAGAGCCACGCGUGGCACCCCCAGGAGUCCGUGGCUUCAGAAGACUCAUUGGGUCUUUCCCUCAACCCCAAGCUGAAAACUUAAUACAAAGGAUAGAGUGGUAAGUUAUUCCUGAGCGUGGGCUUCAGCCUCUAGAAAGUCCUCAGAGCCAGGCUUAACGAGCAGCAGGGCAGGGAUGCUCCAUCUCUAGGAUGUCUUCUGCUGAGGCCAGACUCCUACAGGAAACAAGAUCAGGCUUUUAGGGAGAAAAAGUAAACCUUGAAAGGUUUAGUCAGUCAAAGCAGACUGACCUGUCUACAACUUCAUGCUAUCACAUGUGCACUUCUGAGAAUCAAAUAAGGGGGUACUGCAGUGUUAGUAGGAACAGGGGUAUGCUACAAAUUGGGCUUAGUGAGAUUUCUGGAUUUCCCUGCUUUCUGUUGGCAUAGAGGUACUCCACUGGUGUUGAAGGGGCUAUCAGCUGUGGGUUCACCUGGAACUUGAGUUUGAUGUCAAACCAAGCUCUUGGUACCAAAGGCUCUUGGUUUGAGCCUGGCCAGGUUGUUUUUAACAUCUCUUAAUUUUCUUGAGAAUUUAGAGCCCAUUUCUCAAAGAUCUUCAGGUAUCUUUUUGUUUGCACAUGUAACAUGAAGAAAUAAUAGUAUUUCCUACCUCAAAUGAAGGAGCAUGAGGUGAUUAGGUGCUGUAAUAACAUCGGCCAUGUUUGUUAUCUAGUAUACAGAGGAGUAAAUGGGGGUUCUUUUCUGGUCACGCAAAAAGCUAAUUUUGUGUUUUAAAAGACUUUUUUAUUUUUUUUUCUAUGCUUUGUCAAAAUUUCAAUGAACUUGCUCUUCUCCCUUCCUCUCUGUUUUUUGAGAAAGAAGCUGAACCUUUUGAAA